GCGGCAGUAGGUCAGUGGUAGAGCCCCGCUUCGCAUGCAGGGAGAUCCGGGUUCGAUUCCCGGCUGCUUCC
rnacentral:tRNA from 1 species